CCUCACAAAGCUCUCUCUCUCUAAAAAACCUGUAGCACUGACCGCUGUCUGACAGUCUGUCCGAAGCCCCUGCUUCUGCUCUCUGUCGGCGCCUCUCUGCGGUCUCUGCCUGCUGUUGCCGGGCUACCACACAUUCUGCCGACCACACCUCUAUCUCGGUUGCUAUCGAUUGUCCUCUACCACAGGCCAUCAGGGCCGUUUUAAAGGCUUCAAUCCGAGUCCUAAGCAAUGUAGCUCUCUUGACAGGACCCAAACAAGCAACUGAACCAUCUGAUCAAGCCCACAUGCUCCCGCAGCCGUCUGAUCGCGCAGAAACACUCUGUGGUCCGUGAUUCUCGCCCGUGGGCUGUCGGUCCACAUAAACAACCUGUGAGCCACGAGAAACCAAGGAGAAACGAUAUCUGAUCCAUGAUGGACCACGUGAAAUGCGUAGGAAAUGCACCUGGUUCAUGGUGGACCACGUGAAGGGAAGGGGGGCAUGCACUGGGCCGCGCCCGCCCGCGCACUGGCUUGGGCCGGGCCACGCGCCCAGCUGGCCCGCCUGCAGGCCUGUGUGCCUACGGGCCGGGAAUGUGGUCCUCCUGGGACACCUGGCCUGCGCUCCUGCGUGGGCUGCUCCAUCUUGGGCCUCACUGGUCUGAUCUUCGUUGCUAUGGGUCAAAUUCGAGAUGUUUUUCUCAACAAUUCUCCACCUCGACUAAACAUUCGGCCUCCACCUAACCUUGAGAGCUUUCUAGAUGAUCUCGUCCUCAUACCCUGGGACAUACGCCUGCUGAUUAUGGAUGGACAAACAUGAGAGUCGAGCCAGACCGCUCGAUCCUAUCUCCAUCAUAUGCUGUGCUCCGUCUGACCUGAGAUCUGCUUAGGAUAGCCUCCUAUGGCAAUAAAAACUUUAUCUUGUGACGUCGCCUGUCGUCCUCUCAAGUCUCGUAUCUCGUGUCCGAUCCACCUGCAUCUGAAGCUCCACCUCGCACUAGGCUCCCACUGGCUUCUAAAGCUUCACCUCGUGCUAAGCUUCCUGCCAAGAAGUAAUGUCCCCCAUACUUUCUUCCCCUCAUCACAAUCCUAAUACUACGCAAGACCUUUAGGAUUCCUCCAUCAGUUCUUCACCUGUAGCCGGUCGAAUCCAGUCUACUCAAUGAGAUCAAAUUUCUUCUGAAACUGGGUAUAUAUCAGACCUCAUCCAAUUUCUUGACUGUUCCAUCAUGUACCUUCAUGCUGACGGUCUCGAUAUCCUUGAUCGCACAGUUCGAUCUAUCUGGCAAACGAAUAAUACCCUCACUGCUCUCUAAGGAGUUAAACAGCUCCUCUCUGC
rnacentral:lncRNA from 1 species